rnacentral:rRNA from 1 species
AGAGUUUGAUUCUGGCUCAGGACGAACGCUGGCGGUGUGCCUAAAACAUGCAAGUCGAACGGGAUCCCCGCAAGGGGAUUCAGUGGCGAACGGGUGAGUAAUGCGUGGGAAUCAACCCUCAAGUCAGGAAUAACAGCUCGAAAGAGCUGCUAAUACCAGAUAUGAAUGGCUCGGGACACUGGUCCAUUCAAAGGUGGCUCGCAAGAGCUGUCGCUCGAGGAAGUGCCCACGUCCUAUCAGCUAGUUGGCGGGGUAACGGCCCACCAAGGCUAUGACGGGUAGCUGGUCUGAGAGGACGGCCAGCCACACUGGGACUGAGACACGGCCCAGACUCCUACGGGAGGCAGCAGUUGGGAAUAUUGCACAAUGGGGGAAACCCUGAUGCAGCGACACCGCGUGUGGGAUGAAGGCCUUCGGGUUGUAAACCACUGUCAGGAGGGACGAAGUCCGGCGCAUUAAUACCGCGCCGGGUUGACGGUACUUCCAGAGGAAGCCACGGCUAACUCUGUGCCAGCAGCCGCGGUAAGACAGAGGUGGCGAGCGUUGUCCGGAUUGACUGGGCGUAAAGGGCGUGUAGGCGGUUCUAUAAGUCGGUCGUGAAAGGCGUCGGCUCAACCGAAGCAGUGCGACCGAGACUGUAGGGCUUGGAGCGCGGAAGAGGAAAGGGGAAUUCCCGGUGUAGCAGUGAAAUGCGUAGAUAUCGGGAAGAACACCAAUGGCGAAGGCGCCUUUCUGGUCCGUUGCUGACGCUGAGGCGCGAAAGCCAGGGGAGCGAACGGGAUUAGAUACCCCGGUAGUCCUGGCUGUAAACUAUGCACAUUAGGUGUGGGGGAGGUUCCUCCUCCGUGCCGAAGGUAACCCAUUAAAUGUGCCGCCUGGGGACUACGGCCGCAAGGUUGAAACUCAAAGAAAUUGACGGGGGCCCGCACAAGCGGUGGAGCAUGUGGCUCAAUUCGACACAACGCGAGGAACCUUACCAGGGUUUGACAUGGCCCCGACCGUCCAGGAAACUGGAUUUUCCCGCAAGGGACGGGAUCACAGGUGCUGCAUGGCUGUCGUCAGCUCGUGUCGUGAGAUGUUGGGUUAAGUCCCGCAACGAGCGCAACCCCUAUCGUUAGUUGCUACCAGGUUAAGCUGAGCACUCUAGCGAGACUGCCCGGGUAACCGGGAGGAAGGCGGGGAUGACGUCAAGUCCUCAUGGCCUUUAUGCCCUGGGCUGCACACGUGCUACAAUGGCGCGCACAAAGGGUUGCGAAACCGCAAGGUGAAGCCAAUCCCAAAAAACACGCCUCAAUUCAGAUUACGGGCUGCAACUCGCCCGUAUGAAGCCGGAAUCGCUAGUAAUCGCGGAUAAGUACGCCGCGGUGAAUACGUUCCCGGGCCUUGUACACACCGCCCGUCAAGCCACGAAAGCUGACUGUACCCGAAGUCGCCUUAGCCGACCCGCAAGGGGGGCGGGCGUCGAAGGUAUGAUCGGUGAUUGGGGCUAAGUCGUAACAAGGUA